UUCUAUAAUUACAUUUAUUAUAUAUAUAAUUAAAUUUAUUUUCUUUUUCAGAGUUUCAGGAUAGCCAUUUGUCACCUGCACUUACCCUGCUUCCCUGCCUGGACAAAUCUCACCUUCUUUCUGACUCCACAUUUUUUCAUCAUACAGAUGCAGAAUUUGUCCCUCUUCGGGGAUUUCCUGAUUUCUCGGUUAUGUCUGAGAGAUGCCCUAAGACUUCAAAUGUAGCUGUAACUGAUGAUUCCCACCUCCAAAAUACUAUUCAUGACCAGGCUGCACUUUCCCAGCACCCGUUGGUGGGUGAUAAAAGCUGCUGUUCACUGUCCCAGCACAGCCUGUCACCUGGAGACCAUCAGGACCACGGGAGUUCUUCAUAUGGUGCUGAGGACAAAAUCAACAGACAUAUGGAAGGAGAGGAGCAGACCAUUGCAGAGCAGCUUAGUGAGGGAAUGUCUGCUCGGCUCUUAUUAGAGUUCAAGGACAAGGAUGUUAUUGUGGCUUUUAGUGACAGCAGUGCCAUUUCUUCUGCAUCUGAAUCUGCCUCAAAUCACCAAAACACAAACAAAAGCCAGUCAGAUCCUUCCAUGAAUCUUCAAAAAAGCAGAGAUCAGCCCCAAGGGGGCUCAUUGUCAUUAUCAUCUUCAUUUCAGAAGGCUGUAGAUGUGUCAAAUAUAACUUUUCAUGGCUCACGGAUGCUUUCACACCAAACAACUGACCAUCUCCAUGAUCAGCUUCUGUCUGCAGGACAAAGAGGCUCCAUCUCGGCACCAGCAAGUAGGCACCAUAGUGGGAACAAAAGCUCUCAUAGUGGACUAUGUGUCUCACCAACUGGUGAAGGUGUGAUGCAUGUACCAGAUCUGCAGAGAGCGCUUUGGAGUUCCGGUCAUCUAACAGCAGCAGAUGGUUCAUUCUUGAGCUCUCAGCCUGUGUCUCAGUCCACACCUGCGCUACCUCUUGUGAGACCCCCACCAGCAUUGACCAAACUCUCACUCAUACACUCCAAACUUGAGCUUGUUGCUUCUGUGGCUACAUCGUCCCAAAACAAUCACUCCAUAACUGGCUUAAUUCCAUCGUUGGACCUAAGAGAUCAACAUUCCUUUCCCAUCCACUCUCAAACAACAGCUACAGUUCCUAGUGGACCUUCAGAGACUGUGCAAACAAUGUCACAUGCCCAUCCCAUUUCAAACAAACAAGUUUCUACUCCUGAUUUAAAUCCACAGGCCUCUGAUACACCUCACUUCAACACUCAGCACUUUUACUCUGGUGCAAUGUUAAAAGAUAAGGUCCCUCCUUUGGCCCAUGGGAGAGUACACUCUCUUCCCAGUUUGAGCUACUUACAAAAAGUAGAUGCCUGGAAAGCCAAUCAAAGUUCUAGCAGGUCAUUUUAUGAUAAUUUGGCUCUACAGGGGUUUGAUGGUGUGUCACCCAAGAAAAAAGCACAGGGUGUGGUGUCUGACACACUUAAUCACAUGCUUUCUCGAGACACGCGUCUGACAUUUGGUGCUAAUUCCAGCUCCCAGAUGACUCAACCACUUUCCUCUUCUCAUUCUGGAAGCGGCUCACCCCGUCGAGUGGAUGUGUGUAGAGGACAAGCAUCUGAGUCACCUGUCAAUCGCUCACACUCUCACUCCUCCCUGAGCUCUGUGGUGACCUCUAUUCAGAGAGACACAGUUUCAGGUGAAAGGGGUGAAGGAAGGAAUAGCUCAGCUCCUCACAUGGAUAAAAUCUCGGUCAAGAUGUCUCCUCUCCUCAGUCUGGGUCGCUUCAGUGACGUGUCAUCAAGCCUCAAUAUGAGCAGCACUCUCUCUAGCUCUCAAGGCAGUUGCCAUGGCGAGCAGAGAAUGCGAGCAUCAGUGGGAGCCACCUCUUCUGUAGUGAGUCUUGAGGUUGAUAAUUAUGCACCCUACUGGACUUCCAGACCUGCCUCCCCUCCUCACACUAGGGAACUCAACAUUGAAGAUAGGAUCCCUGUAAGUUCAUAGUGCUGUAGAAGAACUAGUAGGAUGCACUUAAAGUCGGCAUGAAAUGCAAUUCCCUGUCUAAGUUCUAAGUAAUUUAUCAAAAUGUCAUACUGGAUGUGAAACUGACUGACUUCUCUUUUGUAAUUUCUCCAGUCAUCUAGUCUGCUUAAACCUCGCCU
rnacentral:lncRNA from 1 species